UACGUAGGGAGCAAGCGUUGUCCGGAAUCAUUGGGAGUAAAGCGCGCGUAGGUGGCUUCGUAAGUCCGUUGUGAAAGUCAAAGGCUCAACCUUUGAAAGCCGAUGGAUACUGCGGAGCUAGAGUACGGAAGAGGCGAGUGGAAUUCCUGGUGUAGCGGUGGAAUGCGCAGAUAUCAGGAGGAACACCAAUAGCGAAGGCAGCUCGCUGGGACGUUACUGACACUGAGGCGCGAAAGCGUGGGGAGCGAACAGG
rnacentral:rRNA from 1 species